UACGUAGGGUGCGAGCGUUGUCCGGAAUUAUUGGGCGUAAAGAGCUUGUAGGCGGUUUGUCGCGUCUGCCGUGAAAUUUCGGGGCUCAACCCCGAACUUGCGGUGGGUACGGGCAGACUAGAGUGUGGUAGGGGAGACUGGAAUUCCUGGUGUAGCGGUGAAAUGCGCAGAUAUCAGGAGGAACACCGAUGGCGAAGGCAGGUCUCUGGGCCACUACUGACGCUGAGAAGCGAAAGCAUGGGGGAGCGAACAGG
rnacentral:rRNA from 1 species